UACGGGGGGUGCGAGCGUUGUCCCGGAAUCACUGGGCGUAAAGGGCGCGUAGGUGGUCUGAUAAGGGUGUGGUGAAAGCCCGGGGCUCAACCCCGGGUCGGCCGUGCCGACUGUUGGACUAGAGUGCUGUAGGGGCAGGCGGAAUUCCGGGUGUAGCGGUGGAAUGCGUAGAGAUCCGGAGGAAGACCGGUGGCGAAGGCGGCCUGCUGGGCAGUUACUGACACUGAGGCGCGACAGCGUGGGGAGCAAACAGG
rnacentral:rRNA from 1 species